GCGGUGUUUUAGUGUCCGGCUGAACAGAUGAAGCCUUUUUUCUUGAAGCAGCUGAGCUGCAGCUCCAGCACAUUGUUCCAGUGUUUAUCCUGCCGGGUAGCACUGGACCCGUAGACCAGAUCUGUGUCAGCCGGAGUCCGUGUCCUUAACUAUUCUCAGAUGGCAUUCCUUAGGGGUCUAAUUUGGAUCUAUGGGAUCCUUGAGAGUUUUUGGGGGAGCCCCGGUUUAGUCGUGCGCGGUUUCUGUUCAGUGCCUCUUCAAAACAGGCCCUUAAAUCACAAAGCGCGGCAGCUCAUUUGCAGCCGGGACUCCAGGACGGAGGAGCACGGCAGAAAGCGGGACCUGCGGACCGGACGGAGGCCUGAUGGAUGCCGCGUUUCCGCUCCGGACGCGCGUAACAGCGAGCCUCUGGCGUGCGCGUCCGUGCGCGUUGGAACGCGUAACGCGCCUCGGCCACCGGCCUCCAUCUAUCAUCUUUACAACCGUGGGCAGGCUUCACGAGGACACACGGACACACGGAGACACGUCGGCAUCAUGUUUACGGGACAACAUCUACCUGUUGGGCUCCAGCGCAGCCACCAUGAUGCUCCGGACCCCCCCACCCACCCACCCACCCUCCUCUCCUCCUAAACAAUCUAUAGACCAGCCUCGGUGUUUUUGGAAAGCCGAAGCCGUGCGUGUGUUUGUGGGACCUACCUCCCUCCACCGUGGAGCCGGAGCAGCAGCAAAGAGCCGAGGACGGAGCGGAGCCGCCUGGACCGGGACUGGCAGAGC